UUGUACUUCAUCUUUUCUCUCUCCAUUUGUAUUCUUCUUCUUUUGUAUUCUGCGUUUCAUAAGUUUUUGAGUAUUUGUUGUAAUCACUGGUGAUGUUAUCACAUGUACUCUUUGGGAAUCUCAUGCCAUGAAUUUUUUUAACUGUUACAACAACUUCACAAUUGGUGAGUCCCUGAUUGUUUUGCUGACACAUGCAAGAGUCAAGGAAGGACAAGGUAUUUUUUAUCCUUCUAUUUAUUACAACUAUCCUUAUUAUAGAAUUAUGCUUUUGAGAUUCAAGUUGAUUGUUUUGUAGGUAAGUAUCC
rnacentral:lncRNA from 1 species